CGGGACUGAAGUAAUUUCCCAUCUCAGUCUCAAUUUCUAAUGCUGAAUUCUGGGAAGAAAGCCUAGUCCUCAAGUGCUUUUUGCUGUAAUUUGACCAUCACUGGUAUGAAUGCUCCUUUGUGUUUGAUACCUUACAGAAGGACUGUUUGCCUUUCCCAUCUCCAGAUGCACAGCCUCACAGCAAUCCAGCACAGACAUCACACAGAUCUCCUGCGACCCUUCUGCUGUCAUUGCUCUGCAGAGCUCUACAGGCCUGAGCAGUCAUUACUCCUCCCUGUGCAACUGAACCAAAGCAUGCUUGCAGCCAAUACACAGCAGAGAAUUUAUUGAUUGUCUCUGGAAUUAGGCAAUUCUGUUAAUUGUCUUCAUUUUCCAGGACUCUCUCAUUCUUUUCCUGAACCAUUAGUGCCACAGCUAUUUGUGUGCCAGCAUGAGCUGCCUGGAAAGAAAGCUAGAAUUGAACAGCAAAUCAAUCAAAGACAAGGACAGAUAACUCUCAAAGAUAAUUACAUUCAGAUAUCCUGGGGAGCCCUUACAAAUCCCUUUUCAGUUUCCACAGCUCUUUUCCCUCAUUGUGGUUUUGGUUUGAGGAACCUGUACUGAGCAACAAGACAUUCCUAACAAUGCCAGCAAUGUGUCAAAAGACUUCUUUCGUGUUUCAUGAUUUACCUCCCCACUGCUCUCUAGCCAUACCAGACUCCCAAGCAAGAACUUUUUCCAUUAUUUUUAUUUUAUUUAAUCUAUGAUUUCCAAGGGUCAAAAUGGUUGGGGUAGUUCUGUCUUUCCCAUCUACAAAGCACAUUAAAGAGCACUAGGACAUUGGUGGGACCUGAAGAAGGAAGUUGGUUUUGGUUUAUUUUCUUUUCUUUGCAGCCUGGAUAUUAAUCCCUGUACCAUUUCCCAUGAUGAACAUGAACAUCAUGGUACAUUAUGGUCUGAACUUGGACGAGUUUUAAGUAAAUGCAAUGGGAGUCAGUAAUUAUGAGCUGUUGUCUACACAGAUUUCCUAGACAAGAAUGUAAUCCAACAUUUUUAAUUCACCAAACUCAUUACACUCAGUAUACAUGCUAUCUCUUAUUUACAUAUAAUUUAUCCAUGCUUACUUGAAAUAUGUGGUAUCACAAACAUUAAAAAUAUAUAUUUCUGCUUCAUUAUUUCUUUCAUCAAAAAAAAGAGCAACUUCCAUACACAGGGAUUGUUGUAUCUUUUAGAUGGGGUGUUUCUAGCACAGUUUUAAUCCUACAAAAAUACAGUGCUAGAGUAUAGUACACAUUUUGAAAAAAAACCUGAUAUCUGGAGAUGAACAGUCCUCUGGCAGUUUUGGGAUACCAUCCAGCAUUUUCAGAUUUGGCAAACUGGAGAACACGCUUAAAGAGAGACAAAAGUAAAACAGAAAUUGAGAUAAAUAACCUUGGGAAAUAUUUAGAACAAAAUAGACACUGGUAAAUAACAAAUUGUGGAUUCCAACGUAUCCAAAAUAGAUUUGUAUUACUGGAAAUCUUGAUUUUUCACUUGUUGCAGAAUUCAUCUGAUAAAGAGCUAAUUAAAAAUUUUCAGGUUUUGCUCUAUUGCACAAGUUUUAUAUUCUCAGACUCAGUAAAGCACUGCAAAUAUCUACAUUUUUAAUAGGGAAGAACCAAACCAGUUGUCUAAUGCAAAAGAGAUGACACAGUGUUAGCCUAGACUGAAUUUCCUAGACUUCUGACAAGCAAAGAUUUGAUACACGGGUAACCAAUGUACAGGGGGGUAAUACAGAGAAAUUGUACAAGGGAGUUAAAGGAAUUCCUUUGCUUAAACAAAAGUAUUGUCUGUCCUAAGUAUCUGCCAUUGCCACCUUGCCAAGGCAUUGAUUACUGCUGGAGGGGAAGAAGCAGAUGCUAGUUCUGCUGACAAAAGCAGAUGAAAGGUCCUGCUGAUAAGCCGGGGAGAAGCAGACUGGGCGAUCAAGCCUUAAGACCAUGACAAAAACACAGAUGUUUGUUCCUAUUGAUAAGCGGCAGGAGAAGCAGACUGGGCGCCAACUAACCCUAAGUCCAUGUCUGAAGAUUAAAAGGUGUAAAGGUUAAGAAGAGGAAGACUCAUUUACUUCAUCUUGAAGACCCCUACCCACAGGAGGAAGACUCAUUUACUUCAUCCUGAGACCCCUGCCCAUGACCAGAAGGGGCACUGCGCAAGUGCAAAGGACCUUCUGGCUCAUUAUAAUACGAAGCGGGGAUAGAUAAUACAUAUGUAUAGGCGGAUUGAGCAACCUCAUGUCUAUGUAUACCUUAAGAGAAUAAGUGUAAAGGGACAACAACCCUGAGGGGUGCAUGCUUUGCAGGAGCUAUCCCCAUGCACCUUAGCGCUGAAUAAAAGCAUACCUACUUUACA
rnacentral:lncRNA from 14 species